UCCUACGGGAGGCUGCAGUGAGGAAUAUUCCACAAUGGACGAAAGUCUGAUGGAGCAACGCCGCGUGGAGGAUGAAGGUCUUUGGAUCGUAAACUCCUUUUCUCAGGGAAGAGAAUGGACGGUACCUGAGGAAUAAGUCACGGCUAACUACGUGCCAGCAGCCGCGGUAAUACGUAGGUGGCGAGCGUUAUCCGGAAUUACUGGGCGUAAAGCGCACGCAGGCGGUCUUUUAAGUUUGACGUGAAAGCUCCCGGCUUAACUGGGAGAGGUCGUUGAAUACUGGGAGACUUGAGGCAAUGAGAGGGAUGCAGAAUUCCUGGUGUAGUGGUGGAAUGCGUAGAUAUCAGGAGGAAUACCAGUGGCGAAAGCGGCAUCCUAGCGUUGGCCUGACGCUCAUGUGCGAAAGCGUGGGGAGCGAACGGGAUUAGAUACCCCGGUAGUCC
rnacentral:rRNA from 1 species